rnacentral:rRNA from 1 species
CUACGGGUGGCUGCAGUGAGGAAUAUUGGGCAAUGGAGGCAACUCUGACCCAGCCAUGCCGCGUGAGUGAAGAAGGUUUUCGGAUUGUAAAGCUCUUUCGGGUGUGACGAUGAUGACGGUAGCACCUAAAGAAGCCCCGGCUAACUUCGUGCCAGCAGCCGCGGUAAUACGAAGGGGGCAAGCGUUGUUCGGAAUUACUGGGCGUAAAGGGAGUGUAGGCGGUUAUGUAAGAUAGUGGUGAAAUCCCAGAGCUUAACUUUGGAAUUGCCAUUAUGACUAUGUGGCUAGAAUUACAGAGAGGAUAGUGGAAUACCCAGUGUAGAGGUGAAAUUCGUAGAUAUUGGGUAGAACACCAGUGGCGAAGGCGACUAUCUGGCUGUAUAUUGACGCUGAGGCUCGAAAGCAUGGGGAUCAAACAGGAUUAGAUACCCUGGUAGUC